UCGGGAAUUUUGGGCAAUGGGCGAAAGCCUGACCCAGCAACGCCGCGUGAAGGAUGAAGUAUUUCGGUAUGUAAACUUCGAAAGAAUAGGAAGAAUAAAUGACGGUACUAUUUAUAAGGUCCGGCUAACUACGUGCCAGCAGCCGCGGUAAUACGUAGGGACCAAGCGUUGUUCGGAUUUACUGGGCGUAAAGGGCGCGUAGGCGGCAAUUCAAGUCAUCUGUGAAAUCUCCGGGCUUAACUCGGAACGGUCAGAUGAUACUGCUUUGCUAGAGUGCAGAAGGGGCAAUCGGAAUUCUUGGUGUAGCGGUGAAAUGCGUAGAGAUGUGGAGGAACACCGAUGGCGAAGGCAGCCCCCUGGGUCAAGAUUGACGCUCAUGCACGAAAGCGUGGGGAGCAAACAGGAUUAGAUACCCACGUAGUCCCUGAG
rnacentral:rRNA from 1 species